CGCGGUAACGACGGGUAACGGGGAAUCAGGGUUCGAUUCCGGAGAGGGGAGCCCGAGAAACGGCUACCACUUCCAAGGAAGGCAGCAGGCGCGCAACUUACCCUAAUCUCGAUUCGAGGAGGUAGUGACAAGAAAUACCGAUGCGGGACCCUACGGGUGCCGCGUUCGGAAUGAGUACGAUUCGAACCACCUAACGAGGAACGAUCGGAGGGCAAGUCUGGUGCCAGCAGCCGCGGUAAUUCCAGCUCCAAUAGCGUACGUUAAAAGUUGCUGCAGUUAAAAAAGCUCGUAGUUGAACGUUCGGGUUCCGCGGGACGGGGCCGCCCCGCGAGGGACGGCGCCGCCCCGGGGCUCGUGAUAUCUUAUCUCGCCGCCCGUCGCGAGGCGGACGGAGGGAUGGAUGAGGUUACCUGGAAAAAAUCGGGGCGAUCUAGGCGGGCGAACCUCGCCAACGAACGAUCGGACAUGGGAUAACGGAAGAGGGCGUCGGCUCGACUUCGUCGGUUCCUCGGGGCCGAGGCACGUACGGUGAAUAGGGACGGUCGGGGCCGCCCGUACCGGGUCGUGAGAGGUGAAAUUCUAGGAUCGACCCGAG
rnacentral:rRNA from 1 species